rnacentral:tRNA from 1 species
UAGAAUAUAGUGUAAUAGGUAGCACGGAGAGUUUUGAGUUCUCAUGAAUAGGUUCGAUUCCUAUAGUUCUAG